rnacentral:siRNA from 1 species
UCGCCAAUAGUGAUGGUAGUGA